AUUAGCGGCGGACGGGUGAGUAACACGUGGGUAACCUGCCUGUAAGAUUGGGAUAACUCCGGGAAACCGGAGCUAAUACCGGAUAACAUUUCGAACCGCAUGGUUCGAAUUUGAAAGACGGCUUUUGCUGUCACUUACAGAUGGACCCGCGGCGCAUUAGCUAGUUGGUGAGGUAACGGCUCACCAAGGCAACGAUGCGUAGCCGACCUGAGAGGGUGAUCGGCCACACUGGGACUGAGACACGGCCCAGACUCCUACGGGAGGCAGCAGUAGGGAAUCUUCCGCAAUGGACGAAAGUCUGACGGAGCAACGCCGCGUGAACGAUGAAGGCCUUCGGGUCGUAAAGUUCUGUUGUUAGGGAAGAACAAGUACCAGAGUAACUGCUGGUACCUUGACGGUACCUAACCAGAAAGCCACGGCUAACUACGUGCCAGCAGCCGCGGUAAUACGUAGGUGGCAAGCGUUGUCCGGAAUUAUUGGGCGUAAAGCGCGCGCAGGUGGUUCCUUAAGUCUGAUGUGAAAGCCCACGGCUCAACCGUGGAGGGUCAUUGGAAACUGGGGAACUUGAGUGCAGAAGAGGAAAGUGGAAUUCCAAGUGUAGCGGUGAAAUGCGUAGAGAU
rnacentral:rRNA from 1 species